AACUUUCAACAACGGAUCUCUUGGUUCUCGCAUCGAUGAAGAACGCAGCGAAAUGCGAUAAGUAGUGUGAAUUGCAGAAUUCAGUGAAUCAUCGAAUCUUUGAACGCACAUUGCGCCCUCUGGUAUUCCGGAGGGCAUGCCUGUCCGAGCGUCGUC
rnacentral:rRNA from 6 species